rnacentral:sRNA from 1 species
GCCGGGCAUAGUGGUGCAUGCCUGUAAUCCCAGGGGCUGGGGAGGCUGAGGCAGGAGGAUCGAAAGUUCAAAACCAGUCUCAGCAAAAGUGAGGUGCUAAGCAACUUCGAGGGACCCUGUCUCUA